AUUUAUUUCUAAGGUGUGUAGUCAUGGCUUGCCAACUUCUCAAGUGCCAAGUCAUGCAUGCGAAUGUGUAGUCAUGGCUUGUAAUUCAUUAAACCCUAUUUAGAAGGAAUUAUUAUAAUAUAUCUCGUUGAAUAAAGUUAGGGUACAUUUGGCUAGGAGGAGUUGGGGCCCAGAAUGGGAAUGAGAAUGGGUGACUCCCAUUCUAGUCAUUUGGUUCUCGAUAAGUUCCAUCAUCCGAAAAAACUCUACUCCUUUCGCGCAAGCUGUGUUAUGUCUCGGUUUUAUGUCAGAGAAAUUUUUGAUAGAUUCAGGUAUAUUAGGGUUUCAUCAAGUUGAGAUUUUAGUUGAUCAAUUGAAGAGGGACUGAUAGGCAACAGUUAGCCACAGCAAAAAUAAUUUGCAAUCAUUUCCAUGACGGCUUGCCCACUACAUAACCCCUGAAGAAAUGGAUGACGUUUUGCAAGUGGCUUACGGCUAGGUUGGGGCUGGACAGGUCUCGCUUAUAACUGGGGAGUUUCAGUAGGACUUUGAUAACACCACAAAAUGGGGGAAAGAAGUAUCUAAUAACUACAAUGAAUAGACAAAUAUAUAUAUGUAUGUAUGUUUGUUCACAUGUUUGUUUCCUUGGUUGCUUUGGCUUGGCAUUAGUCUCUAGAGAUUCUUAUGGUAAUAUCACUCUUUCAGAUGUUAGUGGUAUGGAUUUUCCCUGUGUUUUAUGUAAUGUUAAGUGACUAUUUCUGAGACAUGAAAGAUUUUGUAAAAAUUUCCUGGUGGUUGAGACUCCCCAGCAAUGGUACAAUUUCUAUGUUGUUAAUUUUAAUAAACAUUGAUCCUCUA